ACUCCUCGAGCUUGCAAAUGACGGCGGGCUGAGAAGUAUGUUUGACAUAACAUCUCUGCUGGCAUUACGGAUCAAAGUCAAGGCUAAAUAUCCUGAGAUAGCCACGAAAGCACUGAAAACGUUGCUUCCAUUUCCAACAUAUCUCUGCAAUGAAUGCGACGAAAACUAAAUUGCGGAAUAGACUCGACAUAAGGAACCUCCGAGUAUCGCGUCUCCCUUCACCCCUCGAUAGGACCGUCUUGUUGCAGGGAAACAAGCCCAGGUCUCCCACUGAUUCAGCGAUACUGCUGUGCUUUACUGUUUGGGGAUCGUUUGGGUGCUUCAGCAAUCUGCAACCUCCUACAGCAUUCCAGGAGGCAGAGGCAACGUGAGCGAACCUCAUGGCAAGAAAGCUGCAGGAUGGCACACAAGCUGAUGUUUGACCCCAUUUCGCCAAUUAAAGUGAUGGGGGUGACUGAAACAUUAAAUGUUGGGCCCCUAUCUAAGAAAGGAUGUGCUGGCAAUGGAGAGGAUCCAGAAGAGGCUCACGAGAAUGAUCCCUGGAAUGAAAGGCUUUGCUGUCUCCAAGAUGGCUCCACGAGGCUGUAUCCGAAGCAUGUGGCAUGGACGCCAGGAAGUCUGGGGUUGGCAUGCCAGCCCUUGAUUUCUCCAUUUCUCAUUGAUUAAAGUGCCAAGGAAGAUUAAAUUCAUCGAGGCAAGUGUCGAGAACGAAAGUGUUCAGUACUGUCUACCAGCCUCUCGCUCACUCAUUGCUGGAGAAGGUGUCUGUGUGUGGCGGUUUCUUACUCUCUCUCACUGCUCCCGAGUGAUCUCUCUCUCUCUCCCUUGAUGCUGUCAGCAGAUGGAACCAGAGCAAGAUUUAAUUGAUGGGGAUUGUAGAUUUGGACUCUAAUUCAAGUUUAUGAUGUGUUCUAUUUCUGGUUCUGGUUGCGCUUUUCUCAUUGCUAUUCUUGGGCUUUUUUUUUUGAAUCUGGGCAGCCUGCAGAUAAUGAACACUGAGCUGGACUGUACUGAAAUAUGCCUUUUAUGUUUUAGGGUCUAUGCUUUCAAUUGUUUUUAUUUUGUUGCUGAAAAUCUAAAGCCAUUCAAGUGUGUGGGGGGGGAGGGGUUGAUAUUUUGAUGUUUUUCUUUGAAUGUGUUCGUCCAUGGUUUUUCUUUGUUUUGUGACUGCCUGGGAAGAAUUUCAGAGUUGCAUACUUCACACAUGCGUUGAUAAUAAAUGUACUUUGAAUAUAUAGGGAGCUUUUGAUGGCUCUGAGCCUAUACAUGCUACAGUUUAGAAAAAUGAGGGGGAAAUCUUGUUGAAACCUACUGAGCAUUGAAAGGCCUAGAUAGUGGAUGUUAAGAGGUAUUUCCUACUGUAGGAGAAUCUAGGACUGGAGGACACAAACUCAGAAUAAAAGUACAUCUAUUUAGAACAGAUGAGAAAUUUCUCCAGAGUGGUGAAUCUGUGGAAUUGCCACAGACAGCUGCGGAGGCAGAGUCAUUAUGUAUACUUAAAGUGGAAGUUGAUAGGUUCUUGAUUAGUAAGGGUGUAAAAGAUACAGGGAGUAAGCAGGAGAAUGGGAUUGAGAAUAAUAUAUCAGCCAUGAUGCAAUGGCAAAGCAGACUUGAUGCGCUGAAUAGUCCAAUGACUUAUGGCUUUAUAGAUUAUUCUGGAGUUAUGGCAUUAUGGAUAGUAUAAUUUUGAAUCAACUGAGAACCAGUCUUCAGGAAAGGAAAACUGUACAGAAUUUAACUUCCAACAGAUACGCUGUGGCUGGUGAAACCAUUUGUUGGUUGUACAAUGGGAUAUUCUAAUUCUGUUCCAUUCAAACUACACAGGGAAAAUCAAUUUGCACAUUGUUAAUGGUGUACCCCUGCAACUUAAAGAAUAGUGUAGGAUAUCUGUUUUGUCACUUAACAUGAUUAGUUGUACAGUCAUCACACAACUCUAUAACCAAAAGGGCAUAUUUUGGGUGUCUGGAGUUUGUACUCGAAAGGCUUUGGAACAGACACCAGUAUUGAAGAUUCAAAGGGGUUUUGUUAUUUGGGGUGUGUUACCAUUAUAAAUAUGUAAUUCUGUACAUUUACCUGACUAUAUUCAAAAUGUUAAAGAAGUGAUUUUAGCAAAUGAAACUGUAGUUAAUUGUUUAUUGUUAUCUUUGCAUUGAAGAAGCAGAUACCUGUCAGGAGAAUGAGAUACUCUUGGCCUCUCUUGUGAAGGCUUGCUGUCUGAAUAAAGACCUGUGUUUCCCACUUACAGCUUCUGUGUGGCUCAGUUCUUAGUUGAUAGAACACUCUACUUCCAAGGCCUGGUUCUGGCAGAA